rnacentral:rRNA from 1 species
GGGGAAUAUUGGACAAUGGGCGAAAGCCUGAUCCAGCCAUGCCGCGUGUGUGAAGAAGGCCUUUUGGUUGUAAAGCACUUUAAGCGAGGAGGAGGCUACUUGGAUUAAUACUCUAGGAUAGUGGACGUUACUCGCAGAAUAAGCACCGGCUAACUCU